rnacentral:rRNA from 1 species
AAGCUCGUAGUUGAAUUUCGGGGUUAGUAGGUUGGUCAUGCCUCCGGUAUGUACUGGUCUCACUGAUUCCUCCUUCCUGAUGAACCGUAAUGCCAUUAAUUUGGUGUUGCAGGGAAUUUGGACUGUUACUUUGAAAAAACUGAGUGUUUAAAGCAAGCUAACGCUUGAAUACAUUAGCAUGGAAUAAUGAAAUAGGACGUUCGAUCCUAUUUUGUUGGUUUCUAGGAUUGACGUAAUGAUUAAUAGGGAUAGUUGGG